GAUGAAGAACGUAGCGAAAUGCGAUAAGUAAUGUGAAUUGCAGAAUUCGGUGAAUCAUCGAAUCUUUGAACGCACAUUGCGCCUGCCAGUAUUCUGGCGGGCAUGCCUGUUCGAGCGUCAUUACAACCCUCAGGCCCCCGGGCCUGGCGUUGGGGAUCGGCGGAGCCCCCCGUGGGCACACGCCGUCCCCCAAAUGCAGUGGCGGUCCCGCCGCAGCUUCCAUCGCGUAGUAGCUAACACCUCGCGACUGGAGAGCGGCGCGGCCACGCCGUAAAACACCCAACUCUUCUGAAGUUGACCUCGAAUCAGGUAGGAAUACCCGCUGAACUUAAGCAUAUCAAUAAGCGGAGGA
rnacentral:misc_RNA from 1 species